rnacentral:rRNA from 1 species
AACGAACGUUAGCGGCGCGCUUAACACAUGCAAGUCGAGCGAGAAAGGGAGCAAUCCCCGGUACAGCGGCGCACGGGUGAGUAACACGUAGGUAAUCUACCUCGAGUGGGGGAUAACCUUCCGAAAGGAGGGCUAAUACCGCAUGAGACCACGACUUCGAGAGGAGAUGAGGUCAAAGCCGGCCACUUCACGAAAGCUGGCGCUUGAAGACGAGCCUGCGGCCCAUCAGCUAGUUGGUAGGGUAACGGCCUACCAAGGCAUAGACGGGUAGCUGGUCUGAGAGGAUGAUCAGCCACACUGGAACUGAGACACGGUCCAGACUCCUACGGGAGGCAGCAGUGGGGAAUCUUGCGCAAUGGGCGAAAGCCUGACGCAGCGACGCCGCGGUGGGUGAUGAAGGCCUUCGGGUUAGUAAAGCCCUAUGGAGGGGGACGAAUAAGUCGGAGUUAAUAGCUCGCGAUGAUGACGGUACCCCUUUAGCAAGCACCGGCUAACUCUGUG